ensembl:lncRNA
GUGAGUGAAGUGAAAGUUGCUCAGUCGUGUCCGACUCUUUGAGACCCCAUGGACUAUACAGUCCCUGAAAUUCUCUAAGCCAGAAUACUGGAGUGGGUAGCUUUUCCCUUCUCCAGGGGAUCUUCCCAACCCAGGGAUCCAACAAAGUAAACUAUGCUUUUUACUGUGAUUAGCCUUUAGGAGUCUUAUGAGCAAAAUCAUAAAUUUAAUAUGUUUUUUAAAUUCAGGAAUGUUUUAUAAGAAGAAUGAAGGGGAAAGACAAUGCAAAUAAUUUCAACAUUACCUUAUUUGAUUAUAUUUAUUUCAAAGGUAAGUCUUCCCUGCUGACUCAGUGGUAAAGAAUCUGUCUGAAAUGCAGGAGAAGCGGUUUUAAUCCCUGGGUCAAGAAGAUCCCCUGGAGAAGGAAAUGGCAGUCCACUCCAGUAUUCCUGCCUGGGAAAUCCCAUGAACAGAGGAGCCUGGCAGGCUACAGUCCAUGAGGUCACAAAAGAGACACGACUUAGUGACAAAAACAACAAUUUCAAAGGUAAGGGUGUAUAUAUACUCACAAGAAAGAAAAAACAGAGAAAGGAAGGAAGGGAAAGAGAGAUUGAAAAAAAGAAUAAAAGAAUUCUGAGAAGUCAAAGCUUCUAAGCGCCAAAGAAUUGAUGCUUUUGAACUGGAGUGUUGGAAAAGACUCUUGAAAGUCUCUUGGACUGCAAGGCGAUCCAACCAGUCCAUCCUAAAGGAAAUCAGUCCUGAAUAUUCAUUGGAAGGACUGAUGCUGAAGCUGAAACUCCAAUACUUUGGCCACCUGAUGUGAAGAACUGACUCAUUGGAAAAGACCCUGAUGCUGGGAAAAAUUGUAGGUGGGAGGAGAAGGGGACAACAGAGGAUGAGAUGGUUGAACGGCAUCACCAACUCGAUGGACAUGAGUUUGGGUAAACUCUGGGAGUUGGUGAUGGACAGGGAGGCCUGGCGUGCUGCAGUCCAUGGGGUUGCAAAGAGUCGAACACAACUGAGUGACUGAACUAAACUGAACUGAGAAAAAAGCAAGGAAAAUCUUGAUAAUAACAGUUUCCAUUACACUUUACAAUACAUGAUAAAGAGAUAUUUUUAAAAGCCGAUUCAUGAAGCAAGUGAAAAUGUUGAUUAUCCUGGCCCAGAGUAUAUACCCAAUAGUCUAUUCAUUCAUCAGAGUCAUUUUGAAAACUUUUGCCACGUUUCAGGAGGGAAGUAGUAAUCAUGUAAUAAAAAACAUGCAUGAGGUUAGAACAAAUUAGAAAGGUACUCAAGAACCACCGGGGGCUUUAUGUUUCCUUAACGUUCUAUCCUAUCUAAUAGCACACUGGUAUGUAGUAAAUGAGUGGUUUCUUCUUUUAAAUGAUCAUCUUUAUCGUAAGGGUUCAUCCGUGUGGUCAUGUAUUGCAGAAUUUCCUCCUUCUUUUAAGGCUGAAUGGUAUUUCAUUGUUUGUUUUCACAUGUUCUUUAUCUGUUCAUCUCUUGAUGGACAUUUGGGUUGUUUCCAUGUCUUGGCUAUUAUGGAUAAUGCUGCAAUAAACAUGAGAGGGUGGUAUCUUCAAGACACUGAUUUCAGCCCUUUUUCAUAAAUACCCAGCAGUGGGAUUGCUGGAUCAUUUUUAAUUUUUUUGAGGACCCUCCAUACUUUUUUCCAUAGCAGCUGUGCUAUUCUGCAUUCCCACUAACAGUCACCAGCAUUGUUGUUUUUUGGUUUUUUCAUAUUAGCCAUCCUUACAGGUAAUAUUUCAUUGUGGCCUUUGAUUUGCAUUUUCCUGACGACUAGUGACAUUGAGCAUUUUGCAUAUACCUGUUGGCCGUUUGUAUAUCUUCUUUGGAGAAAUGUAUUUUUAAGUCCUUAGCCCAUUUUUAAAUUAGGUAAUUAGUUAUUUUCCUGUUGAGUUACAGAAGUUUCAUGUAAAGAUUAAUUUCUUACCAGAUUUGUGGUUUAUAGAUAUUUUCUCCCAUGCCACUGGUUGCCUUUUCACUUUCUCGAUAGGUGAAAAUAAUACAGUGACAGAAAAACAAAUUCUGCAUGAUUCCACUUAUAAGGUAUCUAAAAUAGCCAAAUUCAUAGAAUCAAAAUAUGGAAUGGUGGUUGUCUGGGGCUGAAGGCAGGGAGAAGUGGGGAGUUUCUAGUCCGUGGCCAUAAAGCUUCAGUUAACAAGAUAAGUAAGUUCUAAAGAUCUACUCUGCAGUAUUGUAUUUACAGGCAACAACACUGUCAUAUAUAUUUAAAAUUUUGUCAGAAGAGUAGAACACAUGUUCAGUGUCCAUAUCCCAAUAAAAUAAAACAAUAUUUUAAAUGGUUAACAAGAUUGUUUGAUCACUGUUCUCCACUGAAAAUGUUAGCAUUGCAUGGAGAAGGAAGUUCAAAUAAUUUUUUUAAUGUUUUCCAGUCUUUUCUGGAACUCCUAGUUCACGUCUCACAGAGUCCUUAAUGACAUCUGCAGAACCCCCAGAAAGAAACCCACAUGUGACCAUAAGCUCCUGAAGAGAACUCAUUAUGGAUAAGAGUCAAGACCUCCCAUAUCCAGCCACUUUGUGAUUUCUCAAGACAACCCAAAGAUUAUGGAUCAAAAGUCACUGUUUCCUGUUAUUCUCCAAGAUAAAGACUGAACUGUGGAGAAGAGACUUUCUUUCUGGCAAAGGACUAAAAAUAUGUUUGAAAAAGCAACCAAUUUUUUCAAUAAACAUUUUAGUCAGUCAAAAAUAAUUGAUAUAUUGCUCAAAACUCACAGUUUGCCUGUGUAGAUGCCGUAGAAUAUACAGCAGAAUUGCCAGAUUGGAAGGAUGAACAGAAAGAGGAACAGAUUUUCUUUGGAUAUAUCUUCAGUCCAAGUAUUUUAAAACUCUAUCAACUAGAACAGUAUAAAACUAUUUCUUAAAUUAAUUUAUUUUUUAUUGAAGGAUAAUUGCUUUACAGAAUUUUUCUGCUUUCAGUCAAACCUCAGCAUGAAUCAGCCAUAGGUAUACAUAUAUUCCUUCCCUUUUGAAACUCUCUCCCAUCUCCCUAAACCAUUUUGAAAGAGAGAAAACACAUUUGUUUAAUUCUACAAAAUCUCCCUUUCUGUUUUACCAUGUAAGACUGCUCACAUAGUAGGGAAGGUUUGGGAUCUUUACCUUUUGUCUUCCUAUUGACCAUUUCCCCUUUUCCUCAUACAGGCAUGCUUAUUUUAUAUGAGAAAUCAUCUCUGAAAUUUUAUAUUAAAGUACCUAAAGUAUAUCACAUUUUUCACACUAUGUGAGAAAGUUUGAUAAUAAAUAAGGAUUCUGAAGGUAAAGUUCCAAUGUAUAGCACAGGGAACUAUAUUCAGUGGAAAAUAAUAUUAAAAAGUGUGUAAAUGUGUAUAACUGAGUCAUUUUGCUGUACAGCAGAGAUUGGCACAACAUUGUAAAUCAACUAUACUUCCAUUUUUAAAAAGCAAAAUAAAAAUAAGGAUUCUGAUCAAAGUUUGGCUUGUAUAAGGUGAAGCGCACCUGCCUAAUCAUCAUAAGAGAAACAGGCAAAAAAUGGAGAUGUGUGAUGUUCAGUCAGUUCUCCUCAGGGCCUCAGUCCCCAGAUGAUAAUAAUUCAGGGGCUGGAUGUGCUCUAAAGGCUCAGGGGACAAGACACGGAUCAGAGACUAGACAGAGCCAGGCAGGGAGGAUGGAGCAGUAAAUAGUAGGUUUCUCUUGGUGUUUUAUCUCAUCAUCAGGGUUUGUUUAAGGCUGACAGCAGCUCUGAACUGUUGCAGCUGCUCCUUAACACAGAGAUGUUGACCCUGAGAUUGGAAUAGCCGCUGGAUUAGAAGCCCUGUUAGAAUAUUCAGUCCUAGCAACCUUCAUGGCAAGUCCUCUGUCCACAGAGAACAGAUUGAGGUUGGAGCUCCGCCGCAGUCCAGAGUGAGAAUCUCUCACCUCCCCACUGCUCCCAGGCCAGCACCUACAUUUGUGCCUCCUGUGGUUGGGGAUGUUCAGAGUGAGAAUCUCUCACCUCCCCACCGCCCCCAGGCCAGCACCUACAUUUGUGCUUCCUGUAGUUGGGGAUGUUCAGAGCCAGAAAG